rnacentral:rRNA from 1 species
GAAAAGAACCCCGGCGAGGGGAGUGAAAAAGAACCUGAAACCGUGUACGUACAAGCAGUGGGAGCACCCUUCGGGGUGUGACUGCGUACCUUUUGUAUAAUGGGUCAGCGACUUAUAUUCUGUAGCAAGGUUAACCGAAUAGGGGAGCCGGAGGGAAACCGAGUCUUAAUUGGGCGUUAAGUUGCAGGGUAUAGACCCGAAACCCGGUGAUCUAGCCAUGGGCAGGUUGAAGGUUGGGUAACACUAACUGGAGGACCGAACCGACUAAUGUUGAAAAAUUAGCGGAUGACCUGUGGCUGGGGGUGAAAGGCCAAUCAAACCGGGAGAUAGCUGGUUCUCCCCGAAAGCUAUUUAGGUAGCGCCUCGUGAAUUCAUCUCCGGGGGUAGAGCACUGUUUCGGCUAGGGGGCCAUCCCGGCUUACCAACCCGAUGCAAACUGCGAAUACCGGAGAAUGUUAUCACGGGAGACACACGGCGGGUGCUAACGUCCGUCGUGAAGAGGGAAACAACCCAGACCGCCAGCUAAGGUCCCAAAGUCAUGGUUAAGUGGGAAACGAUGUGGGAAGGCCCAGACAGCCAGGAUGUUGGCUUAGAAGCAGCCAUCAUUUAAAGAAAGCGUAAUAGCUCACUGGUCGAGUCGGCCUGCGCGGAAGAUGUAACGGGGCUAAACCAUGCACCGAAGCUGCGGCAGCGACACUGUGUGUUGUUGGGUAGGGGAGCGUUCUGUAAGCCUGUGAAGGUGUGUCGUGAGGCAUGCUGGAGGUAUCAGAAGUGCGAAUGCUGACAUAAGUAACGAUAAAGCGGGUGAAAAGCCCGCUCGCCGGAAGACCAAGGGUUCCUGUCCAACGUUAAUCGGGGCAGGGUGAGUCGACCCCUAAGGCGAGGCCGAAAGGCGUAGUCGAUGGGAAACGGGUUAAUAUUCCCGUACUUGGUGUUACUGCGAAGGGGGGACGGAGAAGGCUAUGUUGGCCGGGCGACGGUUGUCCCGGUUUAAGCGUGUAGGUGUGUGUUCCAGGUAAAUCCGGUUCACUUUAACACUGAGGCGUGACGACGAGGCACUACGGUGCUGAAGCAACAAAUGCCCUGCUUCCAGGAAAAGCCUCUAAGCAUCAGGUAACAUCAAAUCGUACCCCAAACCGACACAGGUGGUCAGGUA